rnacentral:tRNA from 1 species
UGGAGAUCAAUCGGGUGGCGAAGCACCCCCGGGCAUCGGGUAUUGUUUACGUCGUUGCCGGGGGAACACCGCCGAAAGCGGG